rnacentral:lncRNA from 10 species
CUCUUGAGACUUUGGAUGCAGUUGAACUAGAAACUAUACAGAUGAAGGUCCUCUUUUCCCUUUAGUGGGUGCUUUGGAUCAGCAUUUCACAGAUGAAGAAACUGAGGCUUAGAGAGAAGACAUACAAGUAAUUCACCAGGGUUCAUCUUACAGUUAGCUUGUGAACGCUAGAUUCAAAUGCAGAUUUUUGUAUUCGUGCUAGAUUCAACACUGUACUCCCCCAACAACCCCUCCUUUUUGCCUAUGCUCCUCUACUGUGAAAUGGCUCCUUGGAGAAAAACAUCAGAGAGAGGCUCAUUUUCCCUGUACAGCAGAGAUACUGGAUUACCAGGCUGUCAAUCUAGUCUCCUGAGACAAGAUCUGGGGCUUGGGAGCCCAGCACAGCUAUCUUCUUCAGGAAAACCUGGGACAGCAUACUAUUCAUUCUCUGCUACAAGUUCCAGGAGGAGACCACUCCAUGACUCUGCAGCGCUUG